GAUGAACGCUGGCGGCGUGCCUAAUACAUGCAAGUCGAGCGAACAGAUAAGGAGCUUGCUCCUUUGAAGUUAGCGGCGGACGGGUGAGUAACACGUGGGUAACCUACCUAUAAGACUGGGAUAACUUCGGGAAACCGGAGCUAAUACCGGAUAACAUUUAGAACCGCAUGGUUCUAAAGUGAAAGAUGGUUUUGCUAUCACUUAUAGAUGGACCCGCGCCGUAUUAGCUAGUUGGUAAGGUAACGGCUUACCAAGGCGACGAUACGUAGCCGACCUGAGAGGGUGAUCGGCCACACUGGAACUGAGACACGGUCCAGACUCCUACGGGAGGCAGCAGUAGGGAAUCUUCCGCAAUGGGCGAAAGCCUGACGGAGCAACGCCGCGUGAGUGAUGAAGGGUUUCGGCUCGUAAAACUCUGUUAUUAGGGAAGAACAAAUGUGUAAGUAACUGUGCACAUCUUGACGGUACCUAAUCAGAAAGCCACGGCUAACUACGUGCCAGCAGCCGCGGUAAUACGUAGGUGACAAGCGUUAUCCGGAAUUAUUGGGCGUAAAGCGCGCGUAGGCGGUUUCUUAGUCUGAUGUGAAAGCCCACGGCUCAACCGUGGAGGGUCAUUGGAAACUGGGAAACUUGAGUGCAGAAGAGGAAAGUGGAAUUCCAUGUGUAGCGGUGAAAUGCGCAGAGAUAUGGAGGAACACCAGUGGCGAAGGCGACUUUCUGGUCUGUAACUGACGCUGAUGUGCGAAAGCGUGGGGAUCAAACAGGAUUAGAUACCCUGGUAGUCCACGCCGUAAACGAUGAGUGCUAAGUGUUAGGGGGUUUCCGCCCCUUAGUGCUGCAGCUAACGCAUUAAGCACUCCGCCUGGGGAGUACGACCGCAAGGUUGAAACUCAAAGGAAUUGACGGGGACCCGCACAAGCGGUGGAGCAUGUGGUUUAAUUCGAAGCAACGCGAAGAACCUUACCAAAUCUUGACAUCCUUUGAAAACUCUAGAGAUAGAGCCUUCCCCUUCGGGGGACAAAGUGACAGGUGGUGCAUGGUUGUCGUCAGCUCGUGUCGUGAGAUGUUGGGUUAAGUCCCGCAACGAGCGCAACCCUUAAGCUUAGUUGCCAUCAUUAAGUUGGGCACUCUAGGUUGACUGCCGGUGACAAACCGGAGGAAGGUGGGGAUGACGUCAAAUCAUCAUGCCCCUUAUGAUUUGGGCUACACACGUGCUACAAUGGACAAUACAAAGGGCAGCUAAACCGCGAGGUCAUGCAAAUCCCAUAAAGUUGUUCUCAGUUCGGAUUGUAGUCUGCAACUCGACUACAUGAAGCUGGAAUCGCUAGUAAUCGUAGAUCAGCAUGCUACGGUGAAUACGUUCCCGGGUCU
rnacentral:rRNA from 1 species